AGGAGAGGAGAGGAGAGGAGAGGGAAGAAGCAAGCUACUAUUCAAGGCUUGGAGGAAGAAAUAAAAUAAAGGUCGAAGGGAGGAAGGGGGUGGAGAGAAAGUCUCCAUUCCAGCCAACUCGGUCCCCAAGGAGAGAAACCGCGGAGACUAGGUAGUGGGGAAGCGAGGCAGUCUUACAGAAAACAAGCACUGUGAAGAGGGUUGUUCUUGGCAAGAGCUACAAGAUCUGCAGCUGACCAAGCUUCCCAAGAGCAAAGAGAGAGCCGAGGAGAGGGACGCAUACAUCUCCUGGACGGUGAAACCCAACCCACGGACCUCCAGAAGAGUGGUUCCUUUAAAGCAGCCCCGCAGAAGCAGCCCAGGAAGACUCUGAGGCUGAGGAGGACGGGGAGGUGUAUGCAAGAGCACCCCCUCCCCAGGAAGGUAGGGAGCGCUCACCUGUGGGGAUGAUGGACGGCUUCUGGGCUUCCGCAGCCGCGCAGGCCUUCACAAAGUGUAAGGAGAGCGCUAAAAGAAGGAUGGGGGGCUUCAGCUUGUCUCUCGCCAUCUUCGCCCCUCAAGAAAGAGAUCCAGCUUGGGUCUACAAGGAGAAGCCAGAGCAGCCCGGGAGCUCUCCUACGCCCCCCAACUCCCCUCCUCUGGCGUACUUCUCGCGAGACAAGGUCCCCCACCCCACCCCCAGGUCCGCUUGCCCGCGGAUCUGACAGCUGCGGGAGUCCAGCUGUUCAGCCUCUGGGUGGGGCACUAUAGGCAGGCUGCUAGCGUUGCCCACUCCUUCUAGGACCAGGAGCCGAGGGGAGGGGGGGAAGCAGUGUGGGAAGGGGGAGUGAAAAAUAGGGUCGGGGUGCGAGAGUUUAGAGGUGAAUGGCUCAGGCCUGUCUGCAAAAGGUAGAAAUACCUCUCCCAAACUUCCCGGGUGUUAUGGACAAAAGGGUAACUUCCAGCCUCCCCGUACGCUGUGGGAGAGUGACUUAUAACUUUCCCAGGCGGGGAUGGGAGGGGUCAGAGCCUGGGCUGCCCAUCCCCUCCUUUUCCCCUCCUUCCCCUAGUCUUGUUCCACCUCCUCCCUCCCGGCUAUUGGCGGCCAGACUGACACUGAAGCGUCUGUGUAAGUUUCUCCGGGUGCAAGCCUGGGCGGGCUGACUGGCGGUCGCUGGGUGGGUGGGUGUGGGGCAUCUGUCUGUCUCCUUCCCAUUCACUUUCCAUUCCCCCUGUCUGGGUUGUGUUUGCUCACCGUGGACACUAUUUAAAGAGCUGGCUGCAGCUACGUGUAGCUUCGCACGCAGAUCUGCCUGAACCCAGGAAAGUAAUUUUGAAUGCUUGGGGAGGGGAGUGAAAAUGGGAGGAGGGGACAGGACAAUUAGAGAUUGAGUUCUCUUUUGCUCUGGUGAGUGAGAUCUAAGGUCAGCUUUAACAGAUAAGAAUUUACCAUUUUCUGAGCUUCAGCAGAUCCACCACACUGGACUAGAAUUCAGAGCACCUGAAAGGGUCAUUUAGCCCCACUCUCUCCCUUUACAAAUAAAGAAAUGAGAGCAAAUCAGCAUUUGAACUCAGAAUCUCUAAUUCCUAAUCUGAGACUUUUUUGCAAACUAUCCAACAAGUUUCCAUUCGGGUCCCCCAAACAGUUUCCAGGCUUGACAAAGAAAGAGUCUCAUCAAUCCAGGGGGCAAAUCUCAUCACUCUGUAAAAGAAAGUGUUUGACUUUUAUUUAAAUCAAUAUAAAAUACAAUUUUUAUUGUCUCAUGAUCAUUUCUUUUUCCUGACUCCUGGCCCUCAAUAAAGAGACUUAUAAAUUCAGAAGAAUUUGAACACUGUAAAAUCUCUAAACUUUUUUAGUUCUUUUUGAAAAUUUUCUUUUAAAGGAAAAGAUUCCUUGGAGAUGCCCUGCCUUUCCCAAGUGCUUCCUGUUAUUACCCUUGUUUAAAUAAAGUUGGAACUGUAUGUCACUUAGCAUAUUCUAGCCUACUUUCUCUUCUAGUUCAAAAUAUAUUUUUAGAGAUGGCAUGUGGCAAUAGACUGAUCUAUAAAGAUAAAAUCUGGCAGUUUUUCAAGAGAAGAGCAAAUUAAAGAUACAGUACAUAAAAUUAGCUGAUAACAUAUAUUGCUUAGAAAAAGAUAACCCAAUUUUUUCACAUUGUAUUAAAAAAAUCAAUAUGGCCUAGUAUACAAUUAUCAAAUUGAAAUAAUAUGAUUAAUAACAGAAGAAACUGCCCAGAGAGAGACAAACAACAAAACCACAAGAAAAUACAGAUAAGAAUCCCUUUAUUUUAAGACUGAUAUGAUCAUUGUUAACUGUGUGAAUGUCUCUGCUUGGUCCAGGAAUCUUAAAAUAGAUAAGGAAAAUCUGGAGGAUUCAGAGAAGUUCAAAAGAGAAAGGAACUUAGUAUCUAUGGAAUGAGUAACAACAACAAAAAACUAUGAAGAAAAAAGAGAGAGAUCAUAGUUCUUUAGUCUGAAAAUGGAAAAACUGAAGAAUAGAUGUCUUCAAAACAUGUUUCAAUAGAUAGUCAGCAGAGUUUUCCUACCAUGCUCAUGGAGAUAGCUCUUGCUGAUUUGCCAUGCCCUUUGACAGCUGAAUUUAUUUUCCCCUACUUCAUCUUGCCUUAUUGUCUUCCGUGAACUUCAAAAACAUCAAGGUAGUUUAAUACAAGGACACUGAACUUCAAGUCAGAAUACCUGACUUGAGUUCAAGUCCUCCAUUUAUUUUAUUUUCAUUUUGGCCUUGGCCAAAUCAUUCCUUCAUCUGAAAAAAAAAUAGGUAUUUUAAUUUUUCCAAUACCUUUUUUCAUAGGUUAUUUGAGAAGAAUAAAUGCUCUAUAAAUGCAAGCUAUGAUAAUUAGCCCUCCUCUGCCUAAAUCUACAGGAUCUGUUAUACUGGCUGGUAUAAUAUUCAAGUUUUGUGUUUGGAGUCAUAGGAUUUGGAGUUUUAAUCCAAUAUUGGCUCUGCUUUUUAUGGUAAGUUUGAUUUAGAGCAGGACACUUUAAUUCUCUGGGCCCCCAGUUCCUUCACCUAUAAAAUGAGGUAAUGGAUAUAGGUAUCUUUUAGGUCCCACCUAGCUCUAAAUCAGACAUGCUUAACUUGGAGUCUAUUAAAAGGUCAUUUUUUGAGAUUAGCAAAAUAUUUUGAUAAAUUUGUUUGAGUGUUUGGUUUACUUUGUAAUCCUGUACAUUUUUGUUCAUUUAAGUACAUCAUUCUGAGAAACUGUCCCAUAAAUCUCACCAGAUUACCAAAGGGGUCCAUGACACAGAAAAAGCUCAUAAGCCCCUUUGUAUAAAUCCUAUUCUCCCAUAACCUUUCCUGGAAGUUAGAUUUCUGGUCCCAACUCUCCUGACCAGCCUUUUCCCCAUGAAAGUAUAAUAUUCACAGAUGUUUGUUUUAUUGUUUCUAAAUCCCAAUCCCAUGGAGAAUUCCAAGUGAUCAUUUUUUUUCUUCUAUUCAUUACCAUGUUAAAAAACCACAAUGUCAAGAAUGUCCUAGUCAUCUGCUUCUUUAAAGUUUUCUAAAGAGCUAUUCUCCUUUCUCAAAAAGGCUGUACUCCACAUCCCAUUCAAAAGCAAAAUCUUCCCUUGUGGAGUUUAUGUCUCUGACUACCUAUUGGACAUUCUAUUCUUCUAAUAUUUCUCUGCAUAUGUCCCUUUCUCUCCUCUGAUAUCCCUUUCAAGAUGGGUUUUGGCUCUCUUCUCAUCACCCUCAUUCAGCUUAGAAUAUUGCAGUAGCCUGCAAUUUGAUUUCCUUGCUUCAGGUUUUCCCCAUCCCUAGCCAUCCUCCAUUCAGCUUUCAAGUUGACCUUUCCAAAAUGAAGGUCAGACAGUGACACAAUCUGACCCAAUCUACACCCCCCAGUUGUUGUUGUUGUUUUGUCCUUUAAGUUAGGUCCUUGUUAAGACUUUUCUUGUCAAAGAUUGGAGUGGUUUGCCUUUUCCUUCUUUAGCUCAUUUUUACAGAUGAGGAACUGAGGAAAACAGGAUUAAGUGACUUACCCAGGGUCAUACUUAGGGUAAAUGUUUGAGGCCAGAUUUUAACUCAGAAAGAGGAGCCUUCCUAACUUGAAGCUUAGUGCUCUAUCCCCUGUACCAUUUAGUUCCCCCUUCCAUAGUAGCAUUUUAAUAAAAUAUUUGUUGAAUUCAUAAUACCUUAUACUUCUAUAGAUAUCAUACCUUUUGAUCUUCACAGCUUGUGAGACAGGAAAAUAUAUCAUCUCCCCAUUUUAUAGAUCAAUAAACUUGCCCAGAGAUGCAUGGCUAAUAAUAGGAGGACUCAAGAAUGGAACUGAAGCCUUCUAGUUCAUCAUGUGGAAUGCUUUUCCAACUCCAUCACUUCCUCUUUUUCAAGUAUUUCAGGGCUAUGUGGAUACUUUAAAAUGAAGUGUUUAAGCUAGUUUUCACAUAAGAGAUUUGAUUAAAUAUAGGUCUUGAAGAAGAGUCCUAUCAUUAUGGAGGAAAAGGGAGAUGCAUGGAAAUCUAAAAAUUCAAAGUACAUUUUAAGGAACAGUGAGCACAGUGGCUCUUUCACUUAGAAUUUAUUGGUAGAUAAGGCUGAGAAGGAAAACUGGGAUCAGAAUUGUAGAGGCCUGAAACACCAGGUUAAAGAGUUUGGAUUUCAGCCUGUAAGCAAUGUGCAACCAUUAAGGAAUUUUUAGCAAGAAAGUGAGGGGAUCAAAAGAGUACUUCAGGAAGAUUUAUCUCUCCAUGGUGUGUAGGCUGGAUUGAGGUUAAUGCAAUAGUUCAGACAUGAGGUAAUAGGGCCUGAUUAGGGUAUUUGCAGAAGAGACAGAUGGGAAAGACAUUUAGAAAGAGGAAUCAACUGGAAUGAGAGAUGGAUGGUAGAGGGAAAGGGGAAGCAUCAGAAAUGAGUUGGAGAAAUGAAGCCUAAGUACUAGGAGACUGGUCAUGCCAUUAAUACAAGUAGAGAAAGACAAGGAGAAACCCUAAGGAAUAAAAAGGUUAGGCUAUGCUAAGGUGAAUGUAUCUGUAGAAUACUGAGAUCAAGUGAGUCAACAUGCAUUUACUGAACACCUACUAUGUGCAGACACUGUGCUAAGCACUAGAAAUACAGAGAAAGGCAAUAUAUAUUCUGCUCUCAAGAAGCUCAAAGUCUGAUGGGGGAGACAACAUGUAAACAAAUGUGUAUAAACAAGCUAUAUCCAGGAUAAAUUGGACAUAGUCUCAGAAAGGGGGUUUUGAGAUUAAGGAGGUCUGGAAAAGAGGGACUUGUAGAAAGUGAGACUUCAACUGAGAUCUGAAGGAAGCCAGGAAGCAGAGAUGAGAGGGAGAGAAUUCUAGCCAUAGGGGAUAGCCAAUAAAGAGUACUAUCAUGAAGACUUGGCAUGUCUUGUUUGAAGAACAAUUAGGAGACACAUGUCAUUGGAUUAAAGUGUAAAUGGAGGAGGCAAUGGUAUAAGAAAAAUGGAAAGAUAGGAAAAGAUACAGACAUAAAACACUUUAAAAGCCAAUGGGGAUUUUAUAUUUUAUCCUGGAGGUAAUAAGGAGUUCUGGAGUUUAUUUAUUAUUAUUAUUUUUUACUAUGUACAUAGCAGUGAGAUUGAUGAUGGCAGCUAAUAAUGAUGAUUACUAAUUUGUAGUUGAGAACAUUAUUUGCCUAACUCUUCAUUUGAGCCUCAGUAACCCUUUGAGAUAAGCAUUGUAGGUUUCAUUAACUACAUCAUACAAGUGAGAUAUAACUGAUUAUACAAAUGUCAAUCAUUAUUCUUGCCACACUUUUGAUAGCAUUUAUCAUUAAAUACUCUAUCUGAUCUUUCCUUUCAUGUUACAAGCUCAUAAAGCAAUGAUAAUUACAUUAUACUUGCACAUGAGGACUUUGGUUAGAUGACCUGUGUGGCCUUUUUUUCAGCCAAGAUCCAAAAUUGUGCUGUAGUCAGCUGAAACCAUAGAGGACUUUAAUUUUCAACGUGAUCCUUUGCAUAUCUGAAAUAAGCAAACAUUCAAAAUCAGUGACUGAUUUAUUGUUUUGUUGAUUGCCAAGACUUAAUAAAGUAAUAGAGAAAAUGUUAAUAAAGCAGAAUAAACUAAAAAAAAUCUUCUAAGCAGAUUUAAACAACAACAACAACAACAAACCUUUACCUUCUGUCUUAGAAUUAAUAUAAUUUUCAAGGCAUAAGAGCUAUAAGGGAUAGGCUAUUGGGCUUAAGUGACUUGCCCAAGAUCAUAUAGCUAGAAAGUGUCUGAGGUCAGAUUUGAACCUAGGAUUUCCUGUCUUCAGACCUGCCUCUCUAUCUACUAAGCCACUCCAUCCUAAGCAGAUUGGUAAACAUUUGUCAGCACAGCCCUGCUUUCAGCCCUUCCUGACAUUUUGAGCUUAGAAUAUUUUUUAAUAUUAUAAAUGAAAACAAUCUUCCAUGGUCCUUCAUUCUGAAUCAGAUCUUUAUCUUUAUACAUUUUCUAGAUAACUCUUCUCACUUCUGCUAAGAUGAGAUUAAAUAUGUAGCCUCUGAACUGCCAUUUUUGUAGAUAUGUCCAUGAUGAAGACACUGACCCAGAUGAUUUCAAUUAAAUCCCUCCAGUUAAAGUGAGAUUGAUGACUGAGCAAACUUCUCUUUAAAAGCACUAGUGAUUUUUAGGUGGAGCAAGGAUGUUAAAAUAAAUUUAUUUGAUGCAAAACAUUUAGGUUUUGUAAGCAUAAGAAAAUGUCUUUAUUUUUUUGGGUAAUAAGUGAAUGGAUCAUCUCCUUAGAAUAGUAUUUUUUUUUCUAAUUUCCUUGAUCAUAUCCCAAAGAAAAGGCAGAAAAUAAUUUAAUUUGUUAAGCAAGUUUAAAGGAAAAUUGCCUAACAGUCAUUUUACUUUUUGGAAGCAAUACUGACAUGGUUAACAGAUAUGAAUUGUACUAUGUAUCAAAAGGCACACAUGGAGAAAAAAAAUGAUGUCAGGAAUUAAACUCAUAUUGAAUUGGAUGCCUUACCCCCCCUCUUUGGAGCAUGCUCAACCCCCAUUCCUAGUGACCACAGGGAAACUUGAGCAUGCCUACUUCCAGCUAAGUAUGAUUCAUCACUGGGUUGCAUCCCCCAUUGGUUGCUGAGCCAAAACUCCGAUAGAUAACAGACUCUCAGGUUCCUUUUCUUUUCUGGAUCAUAGUAUGAGGACUAUUCUAAGAGUUAGAUUGGUGGUAAGAGGGAAAAAUGGAAUCCUUAGCCCCUAUACAACCCAUUUAGAAUGUCCUGAGCACAUGUUCUACCCAGGCAACCCUGUGCCUAUCAUGAAGAUACUUCUUUUUUCUUAUGUUUCUUUACCCAAAUAUGUGAUUGAGCAGCAACUUCAGAAUGUACAAAUCCUUUGAACCUUGUGAGUUUCAGAAGAUCUUGAUGACCGAGGAGGCUAUCGAGGCAACAACUUAAAUAUCCAUUGGAGUCAUCAAAUUGUUUCACCAGCAGACUCUCAACAUGGGAAGGGAUCGCUUUCCACUCCCAUCAUCAAGAUUAUCUGGAAUCAGAAAAACACAUGGCAGCACCCAGUGCACCAGCCAAGUUGUGAGGGGUCAAGAAUCCAAAGCCCUCAGCUGGGAUCCCAUUCAGGGAAUGACAGAUCCCAGAGCCAGGUUGUAAGGUACAAGUUCUUGUUCUUACUGAGAAUGCAUGGCACUUCAGCCUGAAGUUGGAAGUGAUGGAGAUUAUAGACAAAGUGUAAAUGGAGUUUUGUCUUCCAGGACUACGUUCCCCAGAAUUCCUUUACUUUUUCCCAGAAUUCUCUGAAUUAUGUUCCCUACUUUGCAUCCUUACAUUUUGUAAAUAAGUUUGCUGCAACCCUGCCUUUUUCUCUCUCUUCUCCAGCAUGCAUGACUGGGAAAGCUGGCUUUACUCAGGCUUUUACUUUUGUCUUUUUAUUCCUUUUACUUCAAGUGAUUUUUAAUAAAUCUUAUAAAAUAUAA